AAGCGGACUGCACGCAAAUCCACGGGUGGUAAAGCACCCGGGAAGCAACUGGCUACAAAAGCCUUUUGCAAGAGUGCGCCCUCUACUGGACGGGCGAAUAAGCUUCAUUGUUACAGGCCUCGUAGUGAGGCACGAUUCGCAAACUUCCCUUCCAGCGUCUGGUGUGAGAAAUUGCUCAGGAUUUUAAAACAGAUCUGUGCUUCCAGAGUGCAGCUAUUGGUGCUUUACAGGAGGCAAUUAAGGCCUAACUGGUUGGCCUUUUUGAAGACACCCACCUGUGUGCUAUCCAUGCCAAACGUGUAACAAUUAUGCCAAAAGACAUCCAGCUAGCAUGCCGC
rnacentral:lncRNA from 1 species